AUGAUUCUUAUUUUCCAGGCCGCGUACAGAAGGUCAAGGACCCAGAUGUUUUCUUCGCAGGAAGGUUCGCAGGAAGAGGACACGGCCAACUUUUCUUUCAAGGAUGGUAAAAAACUGUGCUCUCUUUUUCUGCGGCAGCAAGGUCUGAUCAAGAAAAAGCGAAGAUGGCUGGCCUCGCUGAAUCCUGAAUUAGGUGUCCCCUUCAAACUUAAGCGACCAAAGUUUCUCAAAGUCGCCUACUUGGCUGAAUCGGAUGUCAGGACUGAUGAAGUGUCCAGCGAGAGAGUAAGAUUUAACAUCGAAGAAAGUUUUGGUUUGCAAAGGAAGUGUUACAUUCAUCAGGUAGUUCUGGAUGGUCUCGAGCUUUUUAAGUUGCAAAAACAGAAGGAUGGCUCUCUCUGUCCAGAAAGCUUGAAGAUCAUGCACUGUACAAUCAGCAAAUUAAGCAAUGGAGCACUUGAGUCAGUGGCUAAUAUUGUCGCCCACAAUGGGAUUAGUUUCAGGAAGAUUAGGCCUACAAUGAUGAAAAUCGUGAAGGACCACCUUCCAAAAUACUUGGCUGAGUUGGACAGUGAAAGUGGUAUGCAGUUGUCUGAAAUUUUAACAAAUCCAUGCAGCUACCAUUCUAAUUCUGUCCGUCUUAGAACACCUGUUUCACCAAUGCUUCUGUCAUCUAUUGACCAAGCUUUAGCUGGGCUGGAUGAAAUUCCCCAGCUAGCUGUUAUUGCAAUCAAUAGAAAGCUCACAGGAAAAUCAUGCCCCCCAGAAUUUCUGCAUGUAACUCGAACUUCCAGCAGAAGCUAUCUUAUUAAUUUGCUAAGGAAAAGGUGUGGAAAUAUGAUAGCAAAGCUGCAGGAAGGCAGUGAUCUUCCAGUGAACUUUGCAAAAGCAUUGUCAGUGAUGAACCUGUAUCGAAAACUAACACUAAAGAGCAUGGAUAUUUCACAUUCAGAGUUCUUUCUGUUUCCACGUGCGACUAUAUCAUCGCAGCAAGAUAUCCUGAAUGCUCUAUGGUCACUUCCAAACGUCGAUACUGAUGAUAUGAAGUUGCUGCGUCCCAUUAUGGGUCAAGGUUCUCAAGUUAAGAUGGCAUCAUUCAGAGCAGCUGUGAGGAAGUACUUGACAGAAUGCUUGUUUGAGUGUGAUGAUGGUAAUUUACCAGAUUUGGCAGUACGUGCCAUUGGUUUCUUAGCUCGAAUGUCUCCUAAAUAUCAACAGGCUAUUCUCACAGAAGACAGAAAGGAAGUGGAAGUAGAUGCUGUCUUGGAUUUAAGCAGUUGCCUCAGAUCUUUAGCACGCGGUGCCACUGAAGAAAACUCAAGCGAUGACGAAGUUAGCUUAGAGAGUGACAGGUGCAGUGAAGAUAAUGAUUUUGUACUCACCGCGAGCAACUACUUUGAUAUUCGUUCUCAGCAGCACAUGGAUGAGGGCCGCUGUUCAAAUUUCAUGAUCAAUAGCACUGAAGAUUCUGAGUACACUGCUGGUGCUGGACAUUAUGGAGACAGUGAUGCUACUGGCAGUACGAAGGAUCCUAGUUUGAAGGACAAUGUGGAGAUGACUAGAUGCUCUGCAGAAGAUCUCUCUGCAUUAUGUGAUGACACUGCAAGUAUUGCACACGAGCUUAUUGGGCACAUUCUUAAAAACAUGUUGACUGAAGACGAGGAGAUUGAUGAACUUACCGAUUGUUAUCUUGGAGGCAGUUCUAAUUCUCAAGAUCCUCAAGAUCCUGAAGCGAAGAACCAAAAAGGCGACAUUGUGAUGAAUGCUGUCCAGAGUCUCUUACCUAAUCUACCGAAAAGCUCCAUUGACAAAGUUAGGAGCAUACUGGAUGGUGCUGAGCAGUGA
rnacentral:rRNA from 1 species